rnacentral:rRNA from 1 species
GAUGAACGCUGGCGGCGUGCCUAAUACAUGCCAGUCGAGCGAACAGACGAUGAGCUUGCUCCUCUGACGUUAGCGGCGGACGGGUGAGUAACACGUGGAUAACCUACCUAUAAGACUGGGAUAACUUCGGGAAACCGGAGCUAAUACCGGAUAAUAUAUUGAACCGCAUGGUUCAAUAGUGAAAGACGGUUUUGCUGUCACUUAUAGAUGGAUCCGCGCCGCAUUAGCUAGUUGGUAAGGUAACGGCUUACCAAGGCAACGAUGCGUAGCCGACCUGAGAGGAUGAUCGGCCACACUGGAACUGAGACACGGUCCAGACUCCUACGGGAGGCAGCAGUAGGGAAUAUUCGGCAAUGGGCGAAAGCUUGACGGAGCAACGCCGCGUGAGUGAUGAAGGUCUUCGGAUCGUAAAACUCUGUUAUUAGGGAAGAACAAAUGUGUAAGUAACUAUGCACGUCUUGACGGUACCUAAUCAGAAAGCCACGGCUAACUACGUG